rnacentral:pre_miRNA from 1 species
CUCAACUAGAAUGAGGUAGAGUCGAGGUAUUGGGUCACCAUGACGUUAUCAGUUCGAGAAAAAUUUGAU